rnacentral:rRNA from 1 species
UGAGAUGUUGGGUUAAGUCCCGCAACGAGCGCAACCCUUGUUCUGUGUUGCCAGCGAGUAAUGUCGGGGACUCACAGGAGACUGCCGGGGUCAACUCGGAGGAAGGUGGGGACGACGUCAAAUCAUCAUGCCCCUUAUGUCUUGGGCUGCACACGUGCUACAAUGGUCGGUACAAAGGGCUGCGAUGCCGUGAGGCGGAGCGAAUCCCAAAAAGCCGGCCUCAGUUCGGAUUGGGGUCUGCAACUCGACCCCAUGAAGUUGGAGUUGCUAGUAAUCGCAGAUCAGCAUGCUGCGGUGAAUACGUUCCCGGGCCUUGUACACACCGCCCGUAUAU